rnacentral:lncRNA from 1 species
AUGUGCCAUGGGGUGGAAGACAGGGCAUCUCUCAAAAUGAAAGACUGGGACAGGCAACCUGUUCAUUCCUGCCUGCAAGCACUCACGACUUCUCCUGGCCUUGUCUCGGCUGCGUCGGGCUGCACGAUGAAUUAUCUGUCCAAGGCUUUCUUGCGUCUGGGGGCAAAUCCAGCUGAGACUGCUCUCAGCUGCCGGGAGAACUGUCUCUAUGAAUCAGCUCUGCCUGAAGCCUGGACAAUUGGCACAGCAAGAGGAGAGGCUUGGAGGGGAGGGAAGUGAUGCUCGGAGAGCUUUUGGGCUAGCCCAGAUUUUGGGCUGGGGGCUGGGAGGGACCAAGCUCUCCUGCCAUUACUUCUGAUGCUGGGGCACUUUGUGACAGGGUGACAGAGAUGGGCUGAGGGACAGCCAUAUGCUGUGGUGCCCAACAGUUGCAUCUUCCAAUGACUCUUUCCUGCUGGAUCUGCCUAGAGGCUUUCCCCUAUCACAGGUGAGUCCUUUCCAGGUUUGGGUACCUCCAGGGUCAGGGAAGCUUCUUGAGCUGUGAAGAGCAGUGACUGUCAUAAUGCAGACAGUGGUACCUGGACCCCAGUGAUCCCCAGAGAAGGGACACUCUGACCUCUGGGGCUCAAUUGUCACCUCUCAUGAUAUGUCACAAAGCCAAUCUGAUUUCUUCUGAGCACUGAGGUCCUCUGCCCUGGCCCAGCUCUUUGGGCCCGUGUUUGUAUUUGACUUGAUGGUGGAGAAGAGAAAAUUUCUGUCAAGAAGGCUAUGGACACAAUAGCAGAUUCUAUCCUCUUUUUAAUUUUUCACAUCUUUUUAUCGUCCUGGUUGAAUCCAACAACACAUUCCCCAAACUGCUGGCAAGGAGCUGCCACCCCCAUCCAAGCUGCAGGUGCUACCUGCCCGCCCAUCCCAAAGGACAGAGUAAAGGCUGAAUCCUGCCCCCUCCUUUGAGGGGAGAUCAGGAACCCUUGUCUACUACACCUUGUUCCUUAUGUACCUUCAAACACUUGUCCUGCAAACAUUUGUGGUUUGACUGCUUUUAUUCCUUUCCCUGUCUUUGACAAACCUCUUAUGUAGUUUAUCAACCCAAAUCGGUUUGUUAACUUCCUCCUGCUCUUCCCAUCCCCUCCCACUCCUCCUCCCACUAAUUGGAGUGAAGGACUAAUGGAGUAUUACUGUGAGGGACUAGGCAAGCUUCCCAAAGUGCUUACCUAAGAGGAGAGCACUUUGACUAAUAGAUGUGCAUUAAGGCUGUGCAUCCUCUUGUCCUGAGAGU